UACGUAGGGGGCGAGCGUUGUCCGGAAUUAUUGGGCGUAAAGAGCGUGUAGGCUGUUCGGUAAGUCUGCCGUGAAAACCUGAGGCUCAACCUCGGGCGUGCGGUGGAUACUGCCGGGCUAGAGGACGGUAGAGGCGAGUGGAAUUCCCGGUGUAGCGGUGAAAUGCGCAGAUAUCGGGAGGAACACCAAUGGCGAAGGCAGCUCGCUGGGACGUUACUGACGCUGAGACGCGAAAGCGUGGGGAGCAAACAGG
rnacentral:rRNA from 1 species